CUGCUCCCCUGAUGAAUGACGCGUUUGAACAAGAUGUAACGGUCGCUUGCUGCUUCAAGAUGCAGCGUUCGCGCUUGUCUGCCGUGUUUUGACUUUUCGCGUUCGUCUCAGCAUGCCCCAAGUGCCAUUUUUGCUCUUAAUGUUAUUAGCGUGACAUGCGACAAUAUAAAUUACAGUGAGCGUCAUCGGCUUCAGUACGACCAGACAGGUGUCAUGCGAUUGCGGCUCUGUUGCAGCUGCGAAGACUGCUUCAUCAUCCUUCACACGGAAAACACGGGUUGCUCUAGAAUCCGCAUAGCUCACCAGAGUACUCGUGGCGUGGAUCGGAAAAGCAUGACGACUGCGAAGCAAUAUGUCGGACUCCACAAGCGCCUUCUGUAACGGGGGAUACACAGGAAAGCUCUAUACGUAGAAAACCAACUGAUG